rnacentral:lncRNA from 1 species
GGAAGCACAACGAGUUGAAGGUCAAGGACGAGAAGACCCUCCUCUUCGGUGAGAAGCCAGUCGCUGUUUUCGGAUUCAGGUACAUUUUAGUACUCUCAUUUAAGCGGCAUUUUAUUUUUAUGAAAUUGAGGUUUUAGAUGCAACAGAAAGUUCUAAACAACUAGAUGAUUUUUUUUUUUAUCAAAAUGCAGAUAUUGUAUAUGAACAAGGAAUUUAUACUAGAUUGCAUAUAAAAAGGAUUUAAUUGUUGAUACAUUUGUUUUUUGUGAUUUGAAGGAACCCAGAGGAGAUCCCAUGGGCAAAGACUGGAGCCGAGUAUGUUGUGGAAUCAACUGGAGUGUUCACUGACAAGGACAAGGCUGCUGCUCACUUGAAGGUGUGUUUUUUUGUGUUAUUUCUGUUUUUCCCUGCUGAUGCCUUUCUGUAUAAGUAAGUUGAUCGUCCUAAAGAAAAUAGAUUAGAGUGAUGAAGCCUUAUUCAUUUAUUUUUUUACUAUUGUUAUUAUUUUUAAUUUUGGUGUUAUGGAAUGAGAAUUCUCGUUGUUUGUGUAGAGUGGUGAUUAUUGUUUACCUUUGUCAUUUCACGGCACAAAAUAUGAUUUUUGAUCUUUGUCAUAUCACGGGACAAAAUAUGAUUUUUAUGUGUGAUAGAAUGUGAAAUUUCUUAGUUGUUCUUGGAGUGGUGUUGAUCUUUAAUGCUAUGGUCUGUAUUGACUCUGAUUCUGUUGUUCUUCAGGGUGGUGCCAAGAAGGUCGUUAUCUCCGCCCCUAGCAAGGAUGCUCCCAUGUUUGUUGUGGGCGUCAACGAGAAAGAAUACAAGCCAGAGCUUGACAUUGUCUCAAAUGCUAGCUGCACUACCAACUGCCUAGCUCCUCUUGCUAAGGUUAUUCAUGAUAAGUUUGGCAUUGUCGAGGGUCUUAUGACCACUGUCCAUUCCAUCACUGCCACUCAGAAGACUGUUGAUGGACCAUCAAUGAAGGACUGGAGAGGUGGCAGAGCCGCUUCCUUCAACAUCAUUCCCAGCAGCACCGGUGCUGCCAAGGUACACUCAAUUGGUCGGGUGAUAAUUUUUUAUUUCUUUGGUUUGGCUAAUUCUAAAAUUUCAAUUAUACGUUACCUUACAGGCAGUUGGUAAGGUUUUGCCUGCCCUUAAUGGUAAAUUGACCGGAAUGUCCUUCCGAGUUCCUACCGUUGAUGUCUCAGUGGUCGACCUCACUGUCAGACUUGAGAAGGAGGCAACUUAUG